rnacentral:rRNA from 1 species
GGAUUAGAUACCCUGGUAGUCCACGCCGUAAACGAUGUCGACUUGGAGGUUGUGCCCUUGAGGCGUGGCUUCCGGAGCUAACGCGUUAAGUCGACCGCCUGGGGAGUACGGCCGCAAGGUUAAAACUCAAAUGAAUUGACGGGGGCCCGCACAAGCGGUGGAGCAUGUGGUUUAAUUCGAUGCAACGCGAAGAACCUUACCUGGUCUUGACAUCCACAGAACCUUGUAGAGAUACGAGGGUGCCUUCGGGAACUGUGAGACAGGUGCUGCAUGGCUGUCGUCAGCUCGUGUUGUGAAAUGUUGGGUUAAGUCCCGCAACGAGCGCAACCCUUAUCCUUUGUUGCCAGCGGUCCGGCCGGGAACUCAAAGGAGACUGCCAGUGAUAAACUGGAGGAAGGUGGGGAUGACGUCAAGUCAUCAUGGCCCUUACGACCAGGGCUACACACGUGCUACAAUGGCGCAUACAAAGAGAAGCGACCUCGCGAGAGCAAGCGGACCUCAUAAAGUGCGUCGUAGUCCGGAUUGGAGUCUGCAACUCGACUCCAUGAAGUCGGAAUCGCUAGUAAUCGUGGAUCAGAAUGCCACGGUGAAUACGUUCCCGGGCCUUGUACACACCGCCCGUCACACCAUGGGAGUGGGUUGCAAAAGAAGUAGGUAGCUUAACCUUCGGGAGGGCGCUUACCACUUUGUGAUUCAUGACUGGGGUGAAGUCGUAACAAG